rnacentral:rRNA from 1 species
UUUGCGUCGAAGGUAUACCGGUAAGGAGUGCUGGAGCGAAUAGAAGUGAGCAUGCAGGCAUGAGUAGCGAUAAUUAAUGUGAGAAUCAUUAACGCCGUAAACCCAAGGUUUCCUACGCGAUGCUCGUCAUCGUAGGGUUAGUCGGGUCCUAAGUCGAGUCCGAAAGGGGUAGACGAUGGCAAAUUGGUUAAUAUUCCAAUACCAACAUUAGUGUGCGAUGGAAGGACGCUUAGGGCUAAGGGGGCUAGCGGAUGGAAGUGCUAGUCUAAGGUCGUAGGAGGUUAUACAGGCAAAUCCGUAUAACAAUACUCCGAGAACUGAAAGGCUUUUUGAAGUCUUCGGAUGGAUAGAAGAACCCCUGAUGCCGUCGAGCCAAGAAAAGUUUCUAAGUUUAGCUAAUGUUGCCCGUACCGUAAACCGACACAGGUGGGUGGGAUGAGUAUUCUAAGGCGCGUGGAAGAACUCUCUUUAAGGAACUCUGCAAAAUAGCACCGUAUCUUCGGUAUAAGGUGUGGUUAGCCUUGUAUUAGGAUUUACUCCGAAAGCAAGGAAACUUACAACAAAGAGUCCCUCCCGACUGUUUACCAAAAACACAGCACUCUGCUAACUCGUAAGAGGAUGUAUAGGGUGUGACGCCUGCCCGGUGCUCGAAGGUUAAUUGAUGGGGUUAGCAUUAGCGAAGCUCUUGAUCGAAGCCCGAGUAAACGGCGGCCGUAACUAUAACGGUCCUAAGGUAGCGAAAUUCCUUGUCGGUUAAAUACCGACCUGCAUGAAUGGCGUAACGAGAUGGGAGCUGUCUCAAAGAGGGAUCCAGUGAAAUUGUAGUGGAGGUGAAAAUUCCUCCUACCCGCGGCAAGACGGAGAGACCCCGUGGACCUUUACUACAGCUUGACACUGCUAUUUGGAUAAGAAUGUGCAGGAUAGGUGGGAGGCUUUGAGUAUAUGACGCCAGUUGUAUAUGAGCCAUUGUUGAGAUACCACUCUUUCUUAUUUGGGUAGCUAACCAGCUUGAGUUAUCCUCAAGUGGGACAAUGUCUGGUGGGUAGUUUGACUGGGGCGGUCGCCUCCCAAAUAAUAACGGAGGCUUACAAAGGUUGGCUCAGAACGGUUGGAAAUCGUUCGUAGAGUAUAAAGGUAUAAGCCAGCUUAACUGCAAGACAUACAAGUCAAGCAGAGACGAAAGUCGGUCUUAGUGAUCCGGUGGUUCUGUGUGGAAGGGCCAUCGCUCAAAGGAUAAAAGGUACCCCGGGGAUAACAGGCUGAUCUCCCCCAAGAGCUCACAUCGACGGGGAGGUUUGGCACCUCGAUGUCGGCUCAUCGCAUCCUGGGGCUGGAGCAGGUCCCAAGGGUAUGGCUGUUCGCCAUUUAAAGCGGUACGCGAGCUGGGUUCAGAACGUCGUGAGACAGUUCGGUCCCUAUCUGCCGUGGGCGUAAGAAGAUUGAAGAGAUUUGACCCUAGUACGAGAGGACCGGGUUGAACAAACCACUGGUGUAGCUGUUGUUCUGCCAAGAGCAUCGCAGCGUAGCUAAGUUUGGAAAGGAUAAACGCUGAAAGCAUCUAAGCGUGAAGCCAACUCUAAGAUGAAUCUUCUCUAAGCUCUCUAGAAGACUACUAGUUUGAUAGGCUGGGUGUGUAAUGGAUGAAAGUCCUUUAGCUGACCAGUACUAAUAGAGCGUUUGGCUUAUCUUUAAUAAAGCAU